rnacentral:rRNA from 1 species
GUGGGGAAUCUUAGACAAUGGGUGCAAGCCUGAUCUAGCCAUGCCGCGUGAGCGAUGAAGGCCUUAGGGUUGUAAAGCUCUUUCGCUGGGGAAGAUAAUGACUGUACCCAGUAAAGAAGCCCCGGCUAACUCCGUGCCAGCAGCCGCGGUAAUACGGAGGGGGCUAGCGUUAUUCGGAAUUACUGGGCGUAAAGCGCACGUAGGCGGACCAGAAAGUUGGGGGUGAAAUCCCGGGGCUCAACCUCGGAACUGCCUUCAAAACUCCUGGUCUUGAGUUCGAGAGAGGUGAGUGGAAUUCCGAGUGUAGAGGUGAAAUUCGUAGAUAUUCGGAGGAACACCAGUGGCGAAGGCGGCUCACUGGCUCGAUACUGACGCUGAGGUGCGAAAGCGUGGGGAGCAAACAGGAUUAGAAACCCCUGUAGUCC